CAUAAAGGGAGUAUCACGUUUCAAAGCCCUAAGCCGGAGGGUCAGUUUGAGCACUCAUUGGGUAAUUUGCAUCAACAGUGUCAGCGGUGAGGCUAUUAUCCGUGGAAAUUUCGUGAAUUUCUUCGGAUUCUAGCCUUCAGCGCCUUCACGAUGGGUGUGGUCCUUGGAGGUUUUAUAAAAAAAUUUCUUCGAACGUUCUUAGUCGACCCAAACUUAAUGAACGUUUUUAUAUGCCCUUGGAUCAAAUUAAAGUUUAGGUUCGAUUCCCAUCAUAUUUUUCAAAUUCACCAUUUCUCUCCUCAAUUUUUAGGUGAAAAAUUAUCGUCGCCUGCGUCAUUUCAAACUUUUCUCUGCUGAUUUGCUUUCCAGCGGUUUUGAAGUUAAGAGCUACUUUCAGCUUGCCUGGGCCCAGUAGUUGUAGAACUACAGUCGGCCUAAUAAACAUCUACACCAGCAGGACCCCACACACAUCCGCUGUUUGUAUGCUGAACAGGACCUCAACCACUUUGCAUGUGAAUGUAUGCGAAAUGGACCAGAUUUAUUGGCACACAAUCACUGCAGUGAAAAUUUCGUCCCCACAAUAUUCCGCCAUCAUUCCAUCAUAAAGUAAACAAUGCACUGCAUUUAAAACUAUUUUCAGCCGAUCCAGAUGCAAAAUUAUUAAUAAGGAAAUUUGUAGACUCUGACAAGUACAUAUACAUACUUAUCGUAACUUUGGGGACGUUUUAUUACUUUGGCUUGCAGUAAGCAGGCAAAUUACAACUUCUAAUUUUGUGCAUGAUUCGUAUUUUAUAAAAAACGAUGUUAAAUGAUCAGACAUGUACAUAUGUAGAUAUGUACAUACAUACAUAAUAUCUGGGUUAUGAGACAUUUGUCACAAGUAAAUCCCAUGUCAGUUAGCUUAUACUAAUCUCUCAUGUCACGUUUUUCACGGAUCACUGCAUUUUCACGUCCAGCGGAACGUUAAACUUCGUAUACGGUAUGUCGAAUACCGCCCAACUGUUCCAAAAUAGGGUUUAAUUCAUGAUGAGGGUAUUCAUUCCGAGUGCGCAUGUACGCAUGUACUAUUUUGAAAUUGCCAAUUUUGUGAAGCAACGUAGUGGAGGCGCUUCGCAAGUGACGGUUCAGGAAAUCUGGAAAUCAAAUUUCAGGAAUUUUUUUUUAAAGGAACCACAUUGGCAAAUAAGAAACCGGAAAUUUAUGAAUUUUUUCCAUUACAACAAAUGUGUGAAAAAUAUUUUGUAAACUAUGUAAAUAGUAGCCGUGGAGAUGUGCAAGCUCUCAAUUCAAUUUUUAAGCCAUUUUUAUGCGAACUUUUGGCAAAUAUUGCUAUUAAUACCGACGCGACCUCGAAAUGAAUACCCUUAAUAUGUCUUUGUUGCUGGAACUUUAAAAAUUGCUAACAUUACGUUAUGCAUUUACUGUAACAUUAUACAUAUUAUACCACAGUGAACUAUUCAUUACCUCCGUGUUGACAAAGUAUCACACUAUUUCAUAUCCGGUUGUUUAAACAAGAGUGUUUUAUAACAAAAGUAUUUCCAAAGUGUCGCAAAAACUGUCGGAAUGAAUCAAUUUAUAAAAUUAGUAUUAAAUAAUGUGUCAGGGUAUUUUGGUAUUGAUACAUAUCUUGGCAUUAUUGCAAAUCUCGACGCGUUCAUUACUCCUAGACAUGGCUUAGGGACCACGGCCAAAUUAUAUUUUGGCAUCUUGAUACUUCAGGAUCUGCAAAAAUUUCACCAGGAGAAACUUCCACCAUCCCUACAAUUUCCUCUAUGGUUUCCCCCUCUGGCGAGGAUGAGGUCGACCGAAAAAAUGCGUAGUCGACGCUUAACAUCCUUGAUUUCGAGUCCGCAAACUAUCGGCGUUACCGGAGAAUUGCAUGGAGUGACGGAGUCUGGGGAAUUUUGCAUUGUAAAUUAUGGAAAGUUUAUUUCAAGUAGUCGAACAUCGCUGCCACGAUUUGUGGAGUAAAUAUUACCAAAAUCGGCUCUUGUGUAGGAUCGGUUAUUUUUAUUGUUGUUUCGAGAUUACGUCUCGAAGGUAUUGAUGUUUAAUCGAAAAUGAAUUUGGAUUGAGUUCUAGUAUUUUGGUGUAAAUUGCUGCAAAGGACGUACUAAGCGAAUUAGGUAUGCAUAUGUUUUGGGAAUCUGGUAGUAGUGACUAAACGUUUUGGGUACCUCAUAAGAUUAUUUGGAGAAUUUCGUCAGUCCAAUUUUGCAGGUAUUUUUUUUACUAGACUAAUUUUCUCACGAGAAAUGCAUACCAAUUUUUUCUCUCUAAAUUUGGUGGCAGGUUACGAUGAAAUUUGUGAAAUACUUUGUCAUGAAGUCCUGAUUUCCUUUCUUGUAUGUGUAUAAGUCCACCUGGCUUUAUUGGGAACCAGUUUAUAUUAACUGAUAUUUGUUGACAUGUUAAUAAAGGAUUACUUGACUUGACUUGACUUAUUAAACCUCUUGCUCCUUGCUAAAGGAUAUUGACCCAAUUUUUUACCAGUACCAGAGGAGAAAAGGUAUUUUACUUGUAGGGUUUUCAGUAUUUCACAUCGCCCCCGUUAUUGUGGCACUUUUUCGGAAAAGUUGGCGUGUCUAACAUUCUUCAAAUCGUAAAUUCUGCUUCAUUUUCAUUUUUAUGAAUGGAGACACUUGCCAUCUUCAUCAGCAAGUGCGGGUUUUGGAAAGGUUUUUCUUUAAGAUCUUUUUUAAUUUUUCUAUUUCGCUAUAUCUUACAUGCAGUUUACAUACUUGCAAUUUCUCUUCACUCACUUGCACGGAGAGAUCACAUGCAAUUGGUGGGAAUUUGCAUUCCUUCUUAUGAGAAUGUAUGUAAGUACGGAAACAUUAAGAGACCUGUGCUUUCGAAUCAACAGCGAAACAUAUGAAGAAACAACGUUAUUAGUGGAUAUUUUAUUAUCAUAGUUCCUUCUUCAGGAAACGCUGCCUUAUCAUUUCGAACUGGUAAUUACUCCAAUUUUAGGAUGCUUAAACGAAUCUGCUUCACCUUUUUCAUGGAAUCACAUAGGGAUCACCGUGUUCUUCUGCUGAAUACUAAACUUGCUGCAGAGCACUUUGAAAAAUAUUGCUCCAACAUUGAUUUCCGCUCAUAAUUAAUCUGUAAUGCUGAAUGCACAAGAUUUUAAACCGCCACUAACGUUAAUUGUAAUUACGUUAGGCGCAAAUGUUACACAAGACUCUAUCCCAGACUAUUUACAAUUUGUCUCGAUCGAUAUUCGAAAAAAUUGGUAUAAUUACCCUCAUUUUAAUUCGGACUUGAUGUUUUUGAUGAGUCUGCAACCUUAGCUUCUACAGUAAUUAUGUAAAUACUCCUUAUUUUGAAAUAAAAUUGGGGUUCAGGUAUCUAGUAGGAAUGAUUCACCCUACACUGUGCAAUUAUUGGGUCAGAACUCUAGUAUUUUAAAUUCGGUAAUUUUUAAACUGUCAAGAUAAAACGAGUUGCUCUUCUCCACAAGUUCAUUUCGUUUUAUGACCGUUCAUACGUACAGC